GACGAACGCUGGCGGCGUGCUUAACACAUGCAAGUCGAACGGAAAGGCCCUGCUUUUGUGGGGUGCUCGAGUGGCGAUCGGGUGAGUAACACGUGAGUAAUCUGCCCUUGACUUUGGGAUAACUUCAGGAAACUGGGGCUAAUACCGGAUAGGAGCUCCUGCUGCAUGGUGUGGGUUGGAAAGUUUCGGCGGUUGGGGAUGGACUCGCGGGUUAUCAGCUUGGUGGUGGGGUAGUGGCUUACCAAGGCUUUGCCGGAUAGCCGGCCUGAGAGGGUGACCGGCCAGAUAGGGACUGAGAGACGGACGGCACAGCCACGUGCGGGAGCAGGCGGGAAUAAUGAACGAAGGACGGAAGCAAGACGCAUGAAGGACGGGUGCGUGAAGAAGGCCUGCGGUUGGAUAGCCGCUUUCUCCUGUGACUAAGGGAGAGUGACGGUAGUGGAUAAAGAAGCAACGGCUAACUACGUG
rnacentral:rRNA from 1 species